AUGGUCUGCAGACUUCGCCGCUCCCUCUAUGGUCUUAAACAGGCCCCUCGCGCCUGGUUUGAGCGUUUCGCCUCUGUGGUGACUGCCAUUGGUUUCUUGCCCAGUGAUCAUGAUCCCGCGUUGUUUGUUCACACAUCUCCUCGUGGUCGGACUCUUCUCCUUCUCUACGUUGAUGACAUGAUCAUCACCGGUGACGACUCUGACUACAUAGCCUUUGUUAAGGCUCGCCUUCGCGACCAGUUCCUCAUGACUGAUCUUGGUCCACUUUGCUAUUUUCUUGGGAUUGAGAUCUCCUCGACCUCUGAUGGCUUCUACAUCUCCCAAGAAAAAUAUAUUCAGGAUCUUCUUGCUCGCGCUGCUCUCGGUUAUGAGCGCACUGUUGUGACUCCUAUGGAGCUCAAUGUUCAGCUUCGUGCCUCUGAUGGUGACCCUCUCCCUAAUCCCACUCGCUAUCGUCACCUUGUUGGCAGUCUUGUCUAUCUUGCUGUUACGCGUCCUAAUAUCUCCUAUCCUGUCCACAUCCUGAGUCAGUUCGUUUCAGUCCCCACCUCUGUCCACUAUAGUCAUCUCCUCCCUGUUCUACGAUAUCUUCGUGGCACGAUCUCUCAGCGCCUUUUCUUUCCCCGCUCCAGCUCUCUUGAGCUCCAGGCCUACUCUGAUGCUACCUGGGCUAGUGAUCCCUCUGAUCGACGCUCGUUGUCUGCUUAUUGUGUCUUUCUUGGUGGCUCUCUUAUUGCCUGGAAGACAAAGAAACAAACUGCAGUUUCUCGCUCGAGUACAAAGGCUAAGUUGCGAGCCAUGGCUAUGCUGACGGCUGAGGUGAUCUGGUUACGGUGGUUACUUGAGGAUUUUGGUGUGUCUGCUACUACCUCGACUCCCUUAUUGUCAGACAGUACUGGUGCUAUUAGUAUUGCGCGUGACCCGGUGAAGCACGAGCUCACCAAACACAUCAGUGUGGAUGCCCACUUUGUGCGUGCUGCUGUGCAGGAUCAGACUCUCGCUCUUCACUAUGUGCCCUCUGAGUUACAGUUGGCGGACUUCUUCACGAAGGCACAGACUCGAGCGCAGCAUAGUUUUCUUCUCUCCAAACUCAAUGUUGUUGAUCCACCAUGA
rnacentral:rRNA from 1 species